AUUGAACGCUGGCGGCAGGCCUAACACAUGCAAGUCGAGCGGAUGAAGGGAGCUUGCUCCUGGAUUCAGCGGCGGACGGGUGAGUAAUGCCUAGGAAUCUGCCUGGCAGUGGGGGCUAACGUCCGGAAACGGGCGCUAAUACCGCAUCCGUCCUGAGGGAGAAAGUGGGGGAUCUUCGGACCUCACGCUCUCAGAUGAGCCUAGGUCGGAUUAGCUAGUUGGUGGGGUAAAGGCCUACCAAGGCGACGAUCCGUAACUGGUCUGAGAGGAUGAUCAGUCACACUGGAACUGAGACACGGUCCAGACUCCUACGGGAGGCAGCAGUGGGGAAUAUUGGACAAUGGGCGAAAGCCUGAUCCAGCCAUGCCGCGUGUGUGAAGAAGGUCUUCGGAUUGUAAAGCACUUUAAGUUGGGAGGAAGGGCAGUAAGUUAAUACCUUGCUGUUUUGACGGUACCAACAGAAUAAGCACCGGCUAACUUCGUG
rnacentral:rRNA from 1 species